rnacentral:tRNA from 1 species
GGACCCGUAGCUCAGUUGGUUAGAGCGCUACCCUGACAUGGUAGAGGUCGUUGGUUCGACUCCAAUCGGGUCCA